rnacentral:rRNA from 1 species
UACAGAGGGUGCAAGCGUUAAUCGGAAUUACUGGGCGUAAAGCGUGCGUAGACGGUUAUUUAAGUCAGGUGUGAAAGCCCCGGGCUCAACCUGGGAAUUGCAUUUGAGACUGAAUAGCUAGGGUGCGGAAGAGGGAAGCGGAAUUUCCGGUGUAGCGGUGAAAUGCGUAGAUAUCGGAAGGAACACCAGUGGCGAAGGCGGGUCUCUGGGCCGAUACUGACGCUGAGGAGCGAAAGCGUGGGGAGCGAACAGG